AGAGUUUGAUCCUGGCUCAGGAUGAACGCUAGCGGAAGGCUUAAUACAUGCAAGUCGAGCGGUAGGUGGCUUCGGCCAUUGAGAGCGGCGCACGGGUGAGUAACGCGUACAUGACCUGCCUGUCAGAAGGGGAUAGCCCUGGGAAACUGGGAUUAAUACCCUAUGGUAUUGAUGUUAUAGAUGAUAUCAAUUAAAGCUGAGGCGCUGACAGAUGGAUGUGCGUCUGAUUAGCUAGUUGGUAGGGUAACGGCCUACCAAGGCGACGAUCAGUAGGGGGCGUGAGAGCGUGGUCCCCCACACGGGUACUGAGACACGGACCCGACUCCUACGGGAGGCAGCAGUAAGGAAUAUUGGUCAAUGGAGGGAACUCUGAACCAGCCAUGCCGCGUGAAGGAUGACGGCCCUCUGGGUUGUAAACUUCUUUUGGAUGGGGCGAAAAAACGGGAUUUAUCCUGGACUGACGGUACCAUCAGAAUAAGCACCGGCUAACUCCGUGCCAGCAGCCGCGGUAAUACGGAGGGUGCGAGCGUUAUCCGGAAUUACUGGGUUUAAAGGGUGCGUAGGCGGAUGAUUAAGUCUAAGGUGAAAGUUUGUCGCUUAACGAUAAAAUUGCCUUGGAUACUGGUUAUCUUGAAUAAGGAUGAGGAUGGCGGAAUGUGGCAUGUAGCGGUGAAAUGCAUAGAUAUGCCAUAGAACACCAAUUGCGAAGGCAGCUAUCUGGUCUUUUAUUGACGCUGAGGCACGAAAGCGUGGGGAUCGAACAGGAUUAGAUACCCUGGUAGUCCACGCCCUAAACGAUGCUAACUCGAUG
rnacentral:rRNA from 1 species